AACUGAACAGGUGAUGGAGCCCACCUUAACCGCCUCUAUAGGAUAAUAGCUCCUACAAAUUU
rnacentral:ncRNA from 2 species